rnacentral:rRNA from 1 species
AGAGAGGGAGGAGAAGUUGGAAUGGAUGUCUCUGAUCACGCACAGCAAGUAGGCGCCGGCAGCAGCGAGCUAACGGUGGUGCGUACGGUGUCUCGUAGGGGUAGGGAUAUUCGUGUGGGGGACCCUUGGGAUCUAGCUCGAGCGGGCUAGGGGAGGAAAAGGGGUAGCGCGGGGGAGGAGUAGACGAGCUUUAGCUCGCGUUCUCGAGCGCGCCACUAACGCGGCGGCAGCAGCAACGGCAUCGGUGGCCGGUGGCAAGCGGCAGGCGACUACGGGUCUUCUUCGCGCAGCAGUAGGAGAAGAAGGUGCGGCUCGCGGUGGUCGAUCCUGCGGGAGCACGGCAGCGAAGGCAGCUAGGGGAGGCGCCCGUUGGCAGCAACAGGCAGCAGCUGCGCGAGCUGGGACGGAGGGGGAGGCCAGCUGCCUCUUGCGGCGGUUGUGCGGCAGCAGUGGUUCGGAGGGGGCUCGGGCGCUUGCGUGUAGACGUCCCGGGCUGCUACCUCGGGUCCUCGGUCUGCGGUGGCAGCUGCUUCUGAUGAUGACGAGCCCUCCACGGAUGAUGAUGCACAUCCGGCGACUGCUGCUGGUCCUCAUCAAAUCCUCCUAGGGUCCGUCCUCCGGACGCGGAGAAAACUAGACAUGGGGUCAAACACGAUCGGAAGAAUUCCAUUUGAACAAAUUGAAUACAGACAUGAGUCUAUAACAACGAAGACGACUGAGCAGAUACUAGAUCGAGAACAUAAGCUCGGAGCUCUGGGGACCGAACAUUAUACUACGAACAUACUGAAUAAAAUAAACAUCUCAACACAACACCAUAGAAGAGCACUCAGGGACUAGAACUGGCAUGUGCAAACGCG